CCUACGGGAGGCAGCAGUGGGGAAUUGUUCGCAAUGGGCGCAAGCCUGACGACGCAACGCCGCGUGGAGGAUGAAGAUCUUCGGGUCGUAAACUCCUGUCGAGCGGGAAGAAUACUGUGCGGGCGAAUAGCCCGUGCGGCUGACGGUACCGCUAAAGGAAGCCCCGGCUAACUCCGUGCCAGCAGCCACGGUAAUACGGGGGGGGCGAGCGUUGUUCGGAAUUACUGGGCGUAAAGGGCUUGUAGGCAGCCAGUUGAGUCGGUUGUGAAACCCCUCGGCUUAACCGAGGAAUGGCGUCCGAUACUGACUGGCUUGAAUCCGGGAGAGGGAUGCGGAAUUCCAGGUGUAGCGGUGAAAUGCGUAGAUAUCUGGAGGAACACCGGUGGCGAAGGCGGCAUCCUGGACCGGUAUUGACGCUGAGGAGCGAAAGCCAGGGGAGCAAACGGGAUUAGAUACCCCGGUAGUCCUGGCCCUAAACGAUGAAUGCUUGGUGUGGUGGGUAUCGAUCCCUGCCGUGCCGAAGCUAACGCAUUAAGCAUUCCGCCUGGGGAGUACGGUCGCAAGGCUGAAACUUAAAGGAAUUGACGG
rnacentral:rRNA from 1 species